rnacentral:SRP_RNA from 1 species
UAUGUACCUAUAUCCAAUAUUAGGAUAGUGAACCAGGUCAGGUCGUGACUGAAGCAGCCUUAAGCUAAACUAGUAUGUGGGUAUAGGUACAUAAGG